UGAAAUGCUACUUCACACAAAACAACUAGAAUAAGUGGAGCAUUACUCCAUAUGGAACAACUAAUACAAGUAGAACAGUUACUUCACACAAAAUAACCACUUCACAUCGAUGCCAGUGAAAGCAAACUGGAAUAAGUGACAGCGUUCAUGAGUUACUUUCAUAUUGAGAUGUUCCGAAGAGUUUGAUUGGAUUGCUUAAAUAUAAAGGUAGUUAAGAAAUCUUCCUAUUAACUUUUUUCUUAAAAUACAAGUAUUUCACCCUCCAACAUUGUUCUCGUGUACUUAUUCACAUAUAUCUU
rnacentral:lncRNA from 1 species